rnacentral:rRNA from 1 species
UACGGAGGGUGCAAGCGUUAUCCGGAUUCACUGGGUUUAAAGGGUGUGUAGGCGGGCUAUUAAGUCAGUGGUGAAAUCUCCGGGCUCAACCCGGAAACUGCCAUUGAUACUAUUAGUCUUGAAUAUCGUUGAGGUAGGCGGAAUAUAUCAUGUAGCGGUGAAAUGCAUAGAUAUGAUAUAGAACACCGAUUGCGAAGGCAGCUUACUAAACGAUUAUUGACGCUGAGGCACGAAAGCGUGGGGAUCAAACAGG